UACGGGGGGGGCAAUCGUUGUUCGGAAUUACUGGGCGUAAAGGGCGCGUAGGCGGGCGGGCAAGUCCCUCGUGAAAGCCCACGGCUCAACCGUGGAAUUGCGGGGGAAACUGCUCGUCUUGAGUCCGGGAGAGGAGUGUGGAAUUCCCAGUGUAGCGGUGAAAUGCGUAGAUACUGGGAGGAACACCGGUGGCGAAGGCGGCACUCUGGACCGGUACUGACGCUGAGGCGCGAAAGCUAGGGGAGAAAACAGG
rnacentral:rRNA from 1 species